rnacentral:rRNA from 1 species
CUACGGGCGGCUGCAGUGGGGAAUCUUAGACAAUGGGGGCAACCCUGAUCUAGCCAUGCCGCGUGAGUGAUGAAGGCCUAGGGUUGUAAAGCUCUUUCAGUCGUGAAGAUAAUGACGGUAGCGACAGAAGAAGCCCCGGCUAACUCCGUGCCAGCAGCCGCGGUAAUACGGAGGGGGCUAGCGUUGUUCGGAAUUACUGGGCGUAAAGCGCGCGUAGGCGGACUGGAAAGUCAGAGGUGAAAUCCCAGGGCUCAACCUUGGAACUGCCUUUGAAACUAUCAGUCUGGAGUUCGAGAGAGGUGAGUGGAAUUCCGAGUGUAGAGGUGAAAUUCGUAGAUAUUCGGAGGAACACCAGUGGCGAAGGCGGCUCACUGGCUCGAUACUGACGCUGAGGUGCGAAAGCGUGGGGAGCAAACAGGAUUAGAUACCCUAGUAGUC